rnacentral:rRNA from 1 species
UACGUAUGGGGCGAGCGUUGUUCGGAAUUAUUGGGUGUAAAGGGCGUCUAGGCGGGAGAUUAAGUUAGAUGUGAAAGGCGUGGGCUUAACCCACGAAUUGCAUCUAAAACUGGUUUUCUUGAGUUCGGGAGAGGAGAGCGGAAUUCUUGGUGUAGCGGUGAAAUGCGUAGAUAUCAAGAAGAACACCAGUGGCGAAGGCGGCUCUCUAGCCUAGAACUGACGCUGAAGCGCGAAAGCGUGGGGAGCAAACAGGAUUAGAUACCCGCGUAGUCCCU